ACGGGCUGGGAAAUGGUGCACUUAACAGAUGGCUCAGUAGUUCCUUUGGUUUGCCUCUGUGGUUCCUUCUGACCUUCCUUGGCGGGCCUUGAGUUGGCCACAGCUAGUUCUCCUUUUUUUUGGCCUCAGGGCCUGAGUUUGCUGAAGUUGAACUUCCCGUUGGCCCUUCUUGACCUCUGUCGCAGCACUGGUGCUCGCUCUCUCACCAGCGUGCCUGACAAGUGUGUAGAGCCGAGGGGAGGGUGUGUGAUGGGGGUGAUUCACCGUCUGAGUCAACGUCGGACUGACUCGGGGUAACUUAACAGUCUUAAUGAAGAAGUGCCUGCCUUUUGAAGACUGUGAUUUACUAGUCGGAGCCUUAUUAACAGGUCUGUGCCCCUGGCCCCUACCUCCCCCGACUUGGUCUACCAUCCCCCGGCCAAAACUUUUUUAAAGUAUUGUCGUGGUUUUCAGCGUUUUUAGUACCCGCAUCUCUUAAAGUAAGUUAUGAUCAACAAUAAACAACGUUGCUUUAAAGUGCCAUUCGAGUAGAUGGGUCAAAGAAUGCAGGUGCUCCUAACACAUUUAAGAGCGAUUGGAAAUAAGGGAGAUAAUCUAACAUCAGGUAAAGAAAGAUUUAUGAAAUAACACGACUGCAAAGAAAGUUAGGGAAAAAAUUAAGCGAAAAGAGAUAAAAUAACCUGGUCCUCCUCGUUAAAGUCCUGUGAAAACAUGUACAUUUUUAGUUUCUUGUUACAGAAAAAUCCCACGGGACCAUCUUGCAUGCACUGAGGCCAACAAAGGAGUGAUAUGUUCUCCCUCUCUUAAACCUACGCCAGAGGUCGAGUUGCGGAGGUGAGUAACUUUGUGCUGUCGGAUGACAUCAGCCAGGGGAAGACAUAGAAUGAAAUAAAUUUGUUGUCCCUCAAGCAUGAUUGACGAGAACAACCUGCUGGUUAAGGAUCCCCAGGGUGAACAGACUAUUCUACAAAAUGAAAGACUCUCAAAAGCAACCACAUCAUUAUUUAAUUUGGCAGUAUAUAUUUUUUAAGACAUAAUCGUGCUUGUCCAACACAUGGACUUGCUUUAGGAAUAUUGAGUCUCUCCUUUUUUUUCUCUCUAUUGGUAAAGUGCUUGGAUAUUUGUUCUUUGGAUGCCACGUGAAGAUUCCCCAGUUCAUUGACUAUCUGUUUUAAACAAAUGGAAGUCUUGCUUACAAAGUCAAUAAACCUUACUUUGCUCCGAUGCACUCCCCCCUCCCCUCCUGCACUAUGGAGUAAAGCGAAUGCCCCCCUCAGUUUCAUAAUCUCUCCUUGUGGCUUAGCUGCCAUCCCCGUAAUGCCUCUUCUGUGUCAGUCUCACCUUUACGUUGGCCACGACUGUCUGUAUGUUUAUUUUACCCUCAUGUUGCUGUUGGAGCUGAGGAAUCCUAAUGCCAAUCUGGUUUAUUUACCUUCAUGAGGUAUAGCUCUGUAGUCAUUUUUCAAUUACAAGCUUUAGAGCCGUAUACUUUGUUCAGCAUUUAGCUUUUAUAAAAUACAGGUUAACGAGCAUUAGGAUUUUCGAGAGCUAUAUGGAUUAACUUUACUAUAUGUAUAUUUUAAUCUCUUUACACACCUUACACAUGCUUUGCCUAACAAGGAACGACGCAACUUGGAUUACAACUUGGCAACAGCAAGUUGAUAACGAUUGAGGGAUGAACUCUUGUGGAUUCAAAGACAGUGAGGCUGAUAGACUUUUAAAGUAUCCUAAUCUACAGGAAAGGGUUUGUCACAUGAAGGUCACCGCCGCCAUGGAAAUUGUUGUUGCAAUCUGAAGAAGGCCCAGGAUGUUGGCGUCGACACUACCCAGUGGAACACCCCGGGAAAGGGAGUAGCCCGCUUUCUUUUUCAAUCCAACCUGCACAACCAUUUUCCCACAGUCGCACUGGGUGUAGUUUUGGAAUACUGAACCUAAAGUCAUCCUUGAUCACCUGUCCCGGAGCGAGGGUUACCUCCGGGUGGGUUCUCCGACAUGUUCUUCAGGCCCGGGCUAGAGAUCGGCCCGAGUAAAGGCGGAAAAUUGGCGACCGUAAGGAAGACUUGCGAGGCAUCCCAGCAUGAGCAGCAGAGAUUGGAAACGGAGUUGUUGUAAUUACAGGCUGUGGAAUAGAUGUGGUACCCAUUAACCAAAAUUGUUGAAUCAACAAAAAUUGUUCAAGGAUUUCUUUGCCAUGGCGGUGUCCAAAAAAUAUCUCAAACUUGUAGCCCUUCCAUUCCUUGCUAUGUUCCAGUACCUACAGCAAUGAUCUGGAGAAUGUCUCGUCUGCCUCUGUGUAAAUGCAUUUUUUUUCUUGCAUUACUUGUGCUUUCGAUCCGUGGAGCAUUUUCGAUAUUUUUUUACAAGCAGCCAACUGACUAAAUCGUUGAGUUCGUAUUUGAAUUCUAACCCUGUCAUUUCAACCUAAUUGGUUUGUGUACGAAGCCAGUGUUUCUCAAACAAGACAUUUGUGGUCUGAAAAUAUACCACUGCGGUUGAUUUGAAGGAUUAUAUAAUGUGAAAUAUUUUGUGCCAAUCAAGUCAGUGUUUGCAGGGGUCAGGUGCUCUCAAAUGUCUUGGCAGAAACGGGGCUUCUCUUUGAGAAUAAUUCAACACCAUUGUUUAGAAGUCUAUUGACGAUAUGGCCAAUAGUUCUACUUCUCUAGUAGACUGUGUGUCUCGGCAGACCUCAGCCAUGCAGUCAUGCUGUGAUGCUGCGUUACUUUAUACAGAACAUUAGGCCUGUAGGCCGUACAGUCAUUUUUGGAUGUGUUAUUUUAUACAGAGCAUUUACUAUGUAGGCUGACUGUCAUGUUCUGAUGCCUUGUUGCGUUAUCGAUAACAUUUGGCUUGUAGGCCGUACACUCAAUUGGGAUGCAAAUAUCCUCCCUUUUCUUUUAAGGAGAAUUAAAAAGAAUAAAGUCCCAGACAACAGUAGGGCGAGAUCCAUUGCCAGGUUUUUUCUGGAUCAUUAGUUAGGAGAAAGGAGGAGGGCGCAAGAGAGGAGCGGUUUGGAACUGCUCCGUGUUUAAUAAAGUGCCGUGUGACUCUCUGGCCUACCAACUUCCAUAUGUUGUUUCUUUCAACCCCAAGUAUUCUUUGGUUUCCAAUCUCAGUGCUGGUGAGAAACGGGUGGGGUGACGGUGGAAGGGGUGCAUAAGUGUGAAAAUUGACAUUCAACAGGACUGGUCUCCUAGACCGCUUUCCAGCGUCUUUUCCGGUAAUGGACAGGAAAAGAGGCCACAUGCUUAUAAUUCAGACAAAAUGAGCCUGAAAAUCAUAGUUGAACAUUGAAUCUCAUUUAUGUAAUGCACCCCAUGCUCAAUGUGUCACCGCUGUUUUACACUCAGAUGUUUGAGAAGGGUAAAUAAUUGUUUGACCUUUCCAUGUUCCCCAUUGCUUUUUAACCGCACAGCAUAUUCAACUAAUUAUCUCUUCCAAAUUGACUUCAGACCACCCUCUAGCAUCCACUCCUCUCCUCUCAUCUUCUUAACAACCUUGCACAUUUCUUCAAACAUUUUAAUGAAUAGGCCCUAAUCCUUGACGAUAGAAGUCCUAUUAGCCCUCUUAUGACAGGCUCUGUGUGGCCCUUUCCCAUAAGAGAGCUGCGGGUAGCAAGCCCAACCCAACCUGCGCUCCGUGAAGGCAAAGGUCCCGGUGCCCCUCUGCAGGUCCUACUUGUGAUGAAUAGAAGUGGAUUUCUUGUGACGUCGGUGUCAGGAGUCCCAGAUUUACAGCCCCCUAGACAUGACUCAUACGUAGCCCUCGAUGGGUUUGGUUAUUGGUGUGGGGGAGAGAGAGAGAGGAAGCCUCACUCUGUCAAGUGCCAGUCCAUAAAUAAAACGAGCUGUGGCAAGGGGCCGUCCACUGCUAAUGGAGAAGCUGCGUCUUUAGCUUUUCAGGCACUACUGUGGGGAAGGGGAAGAGGUUGGAGGGGGGGGGUCUGGAAAAGUUUGUUGGAGCAGCCGUAAUACGCAAGAUCCUCGAUCAGAUUGAUGAGAAUCUAAUCCGCCCUAGGUCACUUGCAACAUCAAACGAAACGGAAAGCAAUUUUGAGUCCGAUGGAAGUUGGGGCAGAGGCAAUUCCAAAUGCAUGCAGGGCACGCAAGCAAUGGGUCCGGAAUAGAAUCAAGUUAUUUUUUUCCCAUAAACUAAUCCCAUUUCGACUCUGCUGCUAGGCCUAUCUUCCCAAGCAUUGACUCGUAUGUUUGCGUAUCUAUGAAGCCGUUCCCAACCCCUUCAGCCAUGGCCAUUAACUACCCCUAAGGAUUUGCUGGUGUGGGCUGAUAUUUAAUUGCAAGCAACAAUAUUCAUUGACUUGCGAUCGCUCACGAUAAACAGUGACGGCCCACUCCCUUCUCGCACAGGGAGAUGCACACAUCCAUGCACACACACACAAAGUUCCACAUGAAUCACUAUUUCAGUGUUUUCAUAAAAUGCUUCUUGUUUUUACCAUUUAAUGGUGGGUAGAUUAUGAGACACUAUAAAAAUGUCCUUGGCAUCGCUGUGGUAGAUCCUGCACUCGCCCCCAGAAAAAGCCAUGCAGGGAUUCUGUAAUGU